rnacentral:rRNA from 1 species
AGUAACACGUGGGUAACCUACCUAUAAGACUGGGAUAACUUCGGGAAACCGGAGCUAAUACCGGAUAACAUUUGGAACCGCAUGGUUCUAAAGUGAAAGAUGGUUUUGCUAUCACUUAUAGAUGGACCCGCGCCGUAUUAGCUAGUUGGUAAGGUAACGGCUUACCAAGGCGACGAUACGUAGCCGACCUGAGAGGGUGAUCGGCCACACUGGAACUGAGACACGGUCCAGACUCCUACGGGAGGCAGCAGUAGGGAAUCUUCCGCAAUGGGCGAAAGCCUGACGGAGCAACGCCGCGUGAGUGAUGAAGGGUUUCGGCUCGUAAAACUCUGUUAUUAGGGAAGAACAAAUGUGUAAGUAACUGUGCACGUCUUGACGGUACCUAAUCAGAAAGCCACGGCUAACUACGUGCCAGCAGCCGCGGUAAUACGUAGGUGGCAAGCGUUAUCCGGAAUUAUUGGGCGUAAAGCGCGCGUAGGCGGUUUCUUAAGUCUGAUGUGAAAGCCCACGGCUCAACCGUGGAGGGUCAUUGGAAACUGGGAAACUUGAGUGCAGAAGAGGAAAGUGGAAUUCCAUGUGUAGCGGUGAAAUGCGCAGAGAUAUGGAGGAACACCAGUGGCGAAGGCGACUUUCUGGUCUGUAACUGACGCUGAUGUG